CACACGAACGAUGGAGUGUGGACACAGCACAUCAGGUCCUGCAAAGAUAGUCUAGUAAUGGUACUGAAGACUUGUGCCCCAGAAGCAACCUCAGAACAGGAAGCUGUUCCAGUCCAUGCUACUCUUCUCAUGGCUUGGCUUCCCCAUCUCCAUGAGUAGAGGCCAAACUUUGCACCAGAAAGAUUUUCCAGGGCACGUCAGGAUCCAUCAGACCAUCUCCUUCAGCCAUCACUUGCUUCUUGCCACAUUGUUGCUGCUGCCUGAAAGCACCUUUCUGAGAGGCUGCUACAUCUCUCAUGCGAAAAUUGAUAUGGAGCUUGGGCCACACAUGGAUGAAACAACUGAACCCUGCUGAGAAGGUUUUCAAAUGUCCAGGGAAGGAUAAAUUGUACAGAUCCAUGUUACAUUGACCAAGAAUUUUGUUCAAGUGGAGCAUGGAGUCAAGUAAAAAUCAAGAAACCACAAGCCAAAGAGUGAUCUGAAAUGGAACAACUAGUGCAUACACACUGUUUUCCUCAUGUCACAACAGAAGAAAUAACAUGAGCACGGACGUCAAAAUCCUAGCAGCCACAGACAACAACAUGGGCUACAAAGGACGGGAUAGAACAGCAAGCAUCCACAGUUCUUUUGGUCUUUAUUUGGAAAAUGAGCCAGGUGUGUCCUGUACAGAAAAUGCAGGAAAAAUCCAACCUGAUGAAUGACUGGCCAAUAAGGCUGCUAAUGAAUAAAGAAAUGGAAGGUAUGAUUAACAGCGCUAUCAAGCAGUAGUUGCUCAGCAAUAACCUGCUCAGUGGCACCCAGUUUGGUUUCUGCCAGGGCAACUCAGCUCCUGAUCUCAUUACAACCUUGGUUCAAACAUGGACAGAAGAGCUGAAUUGCAGAGGUGAUUUAAGAAUGACAGGGCUUAACAUCAAGGCUGCAUUCGACUGCGUGUGGCGUCAAAGAACUCAAGGAAAACUAGAACCAAUGGGAAUCAGGGGUCAAACUCACAUCUGGUUGGAGUCAUACCUGGCACGAAGGACAUUGAUUGUGGUGUUGAAGGUCAGUUAUCUCAGCUCCAGGGUACAUCUGCAGGAGUUCCUCAUGGGCAGUGUGCUAAGGCCAACCAUCUUCAGCUGCUUCAUCCAUGACCUUCCCUCUAUCAUAAGGUCAGAAGUAGGGAGGUUCACUGAUAAUUGCACAAUGCUCUGCACCAUUCACAAUUCCUCAGAUACUGAAGCAGACCGUGUUCAAAUGCAACAAGAUCUGGUCGAUAUCCAGGCUUGGGCUUAAAGAUGGCAAGUAACAUUCACGCUGCACAAAUGAUCAUCUCCAGUAGGAGAAAAUCUAACCAUUGUAUCUUUACAUUCAAUAGCAUUGCCAUCACUGAA